AAGCUCUUCAGCAUCAUGCAGUCUGACUCAUGUAUGUGACGUAGAUUUUCCAUGUGUAGAGGCUAAAGUAAUAUUUGCUUUGGCACUCACAAGGAUAUGUUGAUUCUGGCAAGGCUUUAAUAUGCUAUGUUGUUAGUUUAACAAAAAUGUGACAUCAGAAGAAACCAAAACCUGAGUUUUGAAUGGCCUUAAGCGAGAUUGUUUCUCUUCCCCAAUUUGCAUCAUGAGUAUUGGCUGUCUCUUUGAGAGUAAUGGUGCCUGCUUUAGAAGUAAUAAGAUCAGCUACUAUUUAUAAGUGUAGAAUAUCCGCUGUCUGAACAGUUGUAAGAUUCACAGAAGGGGAGUGGAAAUGGAAAAAGAUCAUUCCCAAUAAGAACUUCUGAAUCUGAGUACGACUUUCAGUAAUUUGGCAUCCUGACAUUUCACUUUUCAAAAAGCUUAAUCAAGGACAUAUUUUUUAAGUACUUUCAAAUUAUUAGUUGGUAAAACUAAUAUUACAGUAUUGUCAAAAGAAAGAAAAUGUGCAGAAAACUAUAUAGGAAAUGCAGUUUAAAAUGUCUUAUUGUUAAUUUCUGGAGGAAAAAAGAAAUUAGUUUAUUGCAAGCAAAGUGUGCCCAGUCUAGAAAAAGGAUUUAAGUUUCACUUUUAACAUCUGGAGUUAUUUCUUUACUCAGAUAUGUACUGAAAUUAACUUAUAGAAGUACACAUUCUAUAAAUACUUAACAUUUCAAUUUAUAAUUGCAAAUUUUCUUUAGUUUUUUUUUUUGUUCAGCAUGACUUCCUAAUGGCAAUUAGAGAAAGGUAAUCUUGUUAGAAUUGGGCUUUGGCUUCAUUGGCUUUGGCUUGCUUUCUCAGUAGUUUGUACUUUUUGCCCGUCUCCACUGGUAUUGUAUUACAUUUAUGUGCAUGGCCACUUGAAAAGGAUACUUAUCGGUCUAGACCUUUCUUAGUUUUGAAACAAGUGCAAGACAGCUAUAAAGUAAAGAAAGCGACCAACCUUUUUUCCUACACUAACUUUGAAGUAUCUAGUCAACAACAAUUAGCUCAUAUAAAAAAAUGUUGGGUUUUUUCCCAGCAAAACCAAGGCAAGUGCUUGUGCCAUAUCUACAAAUCCAUAGACUCCGAAGGACAACCAAAAUGCAGGUCUGAUGAGGAGACAGCAGAAACUCUAGCAACACUAGGGAAAAGUUUGUUGUCUUGGAAACUGCUCAGCUAAUCUCCUGAUUCUGCUGUUUAAUAAUUACUAAAAAUUUAUAACUAACACCACCAAAAUUUGUAUUAAACACCAGUGGAAAUCACUUAACGUAAGUUUUGCUACUUCAUUUUCAUUUAUGGUGUGAACUUAAUUCAGUGCUCUGGUGUGCUCUUUGACCUGUUGACAUAUGGCUUAUUUCCCUUUUCCUGUGCAUAGUGGACAUCUAAGCAGUUUUCACAGGAGUUACAUACACAAACAUUUGCAGUAAAGUUUGCUGGCUGAGUUAUUGCUAGGAUUGAAGCAAGAGAGUUUUAUUUCUGUCUGCUUUUUGUUGUUGGGUUAAUGCAAUGAAUUAUAAAGAUGAUAAAUUAUAUACAGUGGUGUUGGGUGCAUUUUUUUAGUUAUUUUAAGUCAAAUAUCAGGAUUGUAGAACAGUUUGGGUUGUAAGGAACCUUGAAGAUCCUGUAGUUCCAACCACCCUGCUGCAGGCACGGACACCUUCCACUAAACCAGGUUGGUCAAAGACCUAUCCAACCCAGCCUUGAACAUGAGUAUGCUGUCAGUGAUAACAAUUCAUAUAUAAACUAUUCCUUCUCCAUUGAGUGUCUUCAUGGGAGAUGGUUGAACAACCUUGGAAAUAAACCCUUUAUACAUAUUAUAAAAAUAUUAAACGUUGCUGUUGUUAAUAAUACAGGUCACUUUGCCUUUCAGUAUGUGUAGACUUCUUUCCAUGUUUGGAACAAGGAUUGGACUCUGGGGUGAUCAUCCUUCACCCUUUGCUAGUACCAAGCAAGUAAAAAAGGAGAAUUUAUCUGAUUUGAAAGCAAGAGCCGUAGUUGUAGGAAGGGAGGAAAAUGAAGAUGCAGGUCAGAGGCAGACAAGAGAAGGGUGUUUCCUCUGGGUACUAGGGUAAGAAGGAAGCUUGGAUAGACUCACCAGAAAGAACGAGAUGCAGAACUGAACAGGGAACUGAGGAACAGAAAACCAUGGGCACCAUAUAUGGAGGAGAUGUGUAACAGGAGGCAGUGUGGCAGGGGAAAAAUGUUUUUACCUUCUCUCAAGUAGAACCCCAUAGUGACAGAAGCAACAUUCCUAACCUCCUGGGAAGCACAUACAAAAGAAUAACAAGUGUCUGCAUCCUGAUUGUGUUCAAUCAAGGCACUCCAAGAAUGAGAUUUGGAGUAUUUAAGGGAUCUACUAAAGCUCAGAAAUGAAACAUAGGUCAUCUAAAACAAUGGAUCUUUCCAGAGUAAUAGCAAAAUUGACCAUGUGAGAACAGAGUUUUCUCUGGAAACAGUUCAGCUCUGUCUCAGAAACUAGAGAUAAGGAACAUAAGUACCCAUGUUUGUGUGCACGUGUGUGUAAAACAAAAUAAGAAUUCCAAAACAAAGCAGUUGACUCGCUUCUUCCCAGCUCUACAUAGACAGAAUCGUAGAACUGCAGAGACAGCAGUUGUGUUGCUGUAUGCGUGCCUGAGGCAUGGUCAGGAAACAAUAUAGAAAUACAUAAAAACAUAGAAUGGAAAAAAUAAACUAAUGUGCAGGAAUGUCUUGCUGCUAUUUUGUUUGUUUCUCUGUGUAUUGUAAAUAAAUGAGUAUGUGCAGUUGACCAUGGAUUAUCC